AACGAACGCUGGCGGCGUGGUUUAGGCAUGCAAGUCGAGCGAGAAAGUCCUUCGGGACGAGUACAGCGGCGAAAGGGUGAGUAAUAUAUAGGUAACCUACCUCUUGGACUCGGAUAAUUCCUGGAAACGGGUUGUAAUACGAGAUCGUCCUAUUGGGUCGCAUGGCCCGACUGGUAAAUGGUAGCUCUGCUUCUGCCGAGAGAGGGGCCUAUUUCCUAUCAGCUAGUUGGUGAGGUAACGGCCCACCAAGGCUUUGACGGGUAGCCGGACUGAGAGGUUGUACGGCCACGUCGGGACUGAGACACUGCCCGGACAUCUACGGAUGGCUGCAGUAACGAAUAUUCCGCAAUGGGCGAAAGCCUGACGGAGCGACGCCUCGUGGAGGAC
rnacentral:rRNA from 1 species